rnacentral:rRNA from 1 species
CCAGACUCCUACGGGAGGCAGCAGUGGGGAAUAUUGCACAAUGGGGGAAACCCUGAUGCAGCGACGCCGCGUGAGUGAAGAAGUAAUUCGUUAUGUAAAGCUCUAUCAGCAGGGAAGAAAAUGACGGUACCUGAGUAAGAGGCCCCGGCUAACUACGUGCCAGCAGCCGCGGUAAUACGUAGGGGGCAAGCGUUAUCCGGAUUUACUGGGUGUAAAGGGAGCGUAGACGGCAGUGCAAGUCUGGAGUGAAAGGCGGGGGCUCAACCCCCGGACUGCUCUGGAAACUGUACGGCUGGAGUGCAGGAGAGGUAAGUGGAAUUCCUAGUGUAGCGGUGAAAUGCGUAGAUAUUAGGAGGAACACCAGUGGCGAAGGCGGAUUGCUGGACUGUAACUGACGCUGAGGCACGAAAGUGUGGGGAGCAAACAGGAUUAGAUACCCUUGUAGG